UUUAUGGAGAGUUUGAUCCUGGCUCAGGAUGAACGCUGGCGGCGUGCCUAAUACAUGCAAGUCGAGCGAACGGACGAGAAGCUUGCUUCUCUGAUGUUAGCGGCGGACGGGUGAGUAACACGUGGAUAACCUACCUAUAAGACUGGGAUAACUUCGGGAAACCGUAGCUAAUACCGGAUAAUAUUUUGAACCGCAUGGUUCAAAAGUGAAAGACGGUCUUGCUGUCACUUAUAGAUGGAUCCGCGCUGCAUUAGCUAGUUGGUAAGGUAACGGCUUACCAAGGCAACGAUGCAUAGCCGACCUGAGAGGGUGAUCGGCCACACUGGAACUGAGACACGGUCCAGACUCCUACGGGAGGCAGCAGUAGGGAAUCUUCCGCAAUGGGCGAAAGCCUGACGGAGCAACGCCGCGUGAGUGAUGAAGGUCUUCGGAUCGUAAAACUCUGUUAUUAGGGAAGAACAUAUGUGUAAGUAACUGUGCACAUCUUGACGGUACCUAAUCAGAAAGCCACGGCUAACUACGUGCCAGCAGCCGCGGUAAUACGUAGGUGGCAAGCGUUAUCCGGAAUUAUUGGGCGUAAAGCGCGCGUAGGCGGUUUUUUAAGUCUGAUGUGAAAGCCCACGGCUCAACCGUGGAGGGUCAUUGGAAACUGGAAAACUUGAGUGCAGAAGAGGAAAGUGGAAUUCCAUGUGUAGCGGUGAAAUGCGCAGAGAUAUGGAGGAACACCAGUGGCGAAGGCGACUUUCUGGUCUGUAACUGACGCUGAUGUGCGAAAGCGUGGGGAUCAAACAGGAUUAGAUACCCUGGUAGUCCACGCCGUAAACGAUGAGUGCUAAGUGUUAGGGGGUUUCCGCCCCUUAGUGCUGCAGCUAACGCAUUAAGCACUCCGCCUGGGGAGUACGACCGCAAGGUUGAAACUCAAAGGAAUUGACGGGGACCCGCACAAGCGGUGGAGCAUGUGGUUUAAUUCGAAGCAACGCGAAGAACCUUACCAAAUCUCGACAUCCUUUGACAACUCUAGAGAUAGAGCCUUCCCCUUCGGGGGACAAAGUGACAGGUGGUGCAUGGUUGUCGUCAGCUCGUGUCGUGAGAUGUUGGGUUAAGUCCCGCAACGAGCGCAACCCUUAAGCUUAGUUGCCAUCAUUAAGUUGGGCACUCUAAGUUGACUGCCGGUGACAAACCGGAGGAAGGUGGGGAUGACGUCAAAUCAUCAUGCCCCUUAUGAUUUGGGCUACACACGUGCUACAAUGGACAAUACAAAGGGCAGCGAAACCGCGAGGUCAAGCAAAUCCCAUAAAGUUGUUCUCAGUUCGGAUUGUAGUCUGCAACUCGACUACAUGAAGCUGGAAUCGCUAGUAAUCGUAGAUCAGCAUGCUACGGUGAAUACGUUCCCGGGUCUUGUACACACCGCCCGUCACACCACGAGAGUUUGUAACACCCGAAGCCGGUGGAGUAACCUUUUAGGAGCUAGCCGUCGAAGGUGGGACAAAUGAUUGGGGUGAAGUCGUAACAAGGUAGCCGUAUCGGAAGGUGCGGCUGGAUCACCUCCUUUCU
rnacentral:rRNA from 1 species